UACGGAGGGUGCAAGCGUUGCUCGGAAUUAUUGGGCGUAAAGCGCGUGUAGGCGGUCAUGUAAGUCAGAUGUGAAAGCCUUUCGCUUAACGGAAGAAGUGCAUUUGAAACUAUAUGACUGGAGUACGGGAGAGGAGAGUGGAAUUCCCGGUGUAGAGGUGAAAUUCGUAGAUAUCGGGAGGAGCAUCAGUGGCGAAGACGGCUCUCUGGUCCGAUACUGACGCUGAGACGCGAAAGCGUGGGGAG
rnacentral:rRNA from 1 species